ensembl:lncRNA
AUGCCACGCUGGGGUCCCGACUGCCCUGACCCGUUUUGGACUGCUGCUGCUUUGUGUGGGGAUAAAACCCACACUUUUUACGGACCUUGCCUGCUGCUGCGUUCGGGUGCUGAGGGCCUCACUGGUGAUCCUGUUUGGUGAUGGUGUCCCUUCGUGUGUAGUGUCUUAUUCACUCCCCUCCUUUGUUUUGCUUUGCCCUUGUGUGUUUGGAGUGUUAAUUUUGGAUUGUGGUGCUCCCAUUUUAAGUUUAUACUUUCACCCCUCACUCACCUUGAGCACAAAUGCCCCAGCCCUGGAAUACAUGAUAAUUUAUACAAAUAGGAUAAUUUUUUUAGAUUUGAAUUGUGCCCAAUAAACUGUUGUAUAUGCUUUUGGAAACACGUCUCUCGCCUGCUCAGUGUAACGA